UCAUCACGCGAGAUUUGGAGUCCUUCGUUUUCUGAUACAGAUAGGGUAGAGGUAGAGUCAAAUUACCCAAUUUAAUUAUGUUUUUAUUGAUCGAGCUACAUUUAUGCACUAAUGUGAAGUGUACUACAGCGGACCCGCCUUGAAGAGGUAAUUAAAUGAGAAGUUAAUGAGACUUUAGUCUCUAACUAGAUAAAGUGGAAUGAAGUUGAGCCUCUCAACUUUCAACAACACAUAUUUAAAGAUGUGAUCCCACUUAACCAAAAGGGAAAAGACAAAGCGAAAAGGGUGCAGCAUUAGUAAAGCAAGACCAGAAGAUAAUGCAUGGGUCCCAAAGAUGACAUGAUUGGGUGGACCGAGAAUUGAACCAGUAUGGGCUUGGAUUAAUCCAGAGGUCUGAUGCCAAAGACUUUUAAAUGUAGAAUAUGUUAAAAAGAAAACUAAACCAAGUUUUAACUAAACAUUUUUAAAUGCAUUUUUUUCUGCAAGUAUUCUGCAUUUCUGAUGUUCUAAGAGGUUGUUGUAAGUCUGUAUGUUGUACAAUGAUUUAAAAAAAAAAAAAAAAAGCUGAGUCUGAGGUGGUGUUCAGUCUGUGUUGAAUCUGUAAGACUUCUUCUUCAAAUUUUCUAAAAAGAUUUGCUCCUCUUCGAGGAAGUCACGAUCCUGUCGAAGAAAGAAAAGGGAGAAAUAAUAGUUGGUGGCAGAAACAUUUUUAUCUACUUUGUGUUGAGCAGUAUGGCACUAUAUGCUGUUAACAGGCUAGGAGGGUGUAAUAGUGCAGCUAGGACAUAUACAUGUUUAUACAGGGGAAAAAGCCCAUUUGAAUACUGCUUUCUACAUAAUACUGAGAUCAAAACAUACAGUUAAUGUCGUAGGUUGUUUGCCUUAAUCAGACUAAUACUGAAAUGUUACUGUGGAUGUAAACACUAGUUUAAUAUUGUGAGUUAACUGGUAAGUGGAUGUGAGUGUUUAUGUAAGUUAUAAUGUAAUUUAUGCAAUAAAAGUUGAAAAUUU